UACGGAGGGUGCGAGCGUUGUUCGGAAUUACUGGGCGUAAAGCGCGUGCAGGCGGCCGACUAAGUCAGGUGUGAAAGCCCGGGGCUCACCUCCGGAAGUGCGCUUGAAACUGGUCGGCUAGAGUACGGGAGAGGGAAGCGGAAUUCCUGGUGUAGCGGUGAAAUGCGUAGAUAUCAGGAGGAACACCGGCGGCGAAGGCGGCUUCCUGGACCAAUUCUGACGCUGAGGAGCGAAAGCCAGGGGAGCAAACGGG
rnacentral:rRNA from 1 species